AUUUAUAUUAUUUGCAUAUUCGCGAUUAGUUUCGUAAUGCUAAGUUUAGUCUCGAUUUCGAAUAUUUCUCAACCAAUGCUCAUUGUCGGAAUUGAUUAUAUUUGGGUUGAUAGGUUUAUAGUUUAAGCUUUUACAAGCGCCAUAUAUAUGCUCUACCAUGUUUAUAUUUCGAAAGAUACCAGAUCUCAAUAUGUUCUUACAUAUGUACAUCCCCC
rnacentral:lncRNA from 1 species